AGCCACAGCCAUAUAAUCCUGCAGCCCAAGACCAGUUACUCACUAAAGUUAAGCAGGGCUGAACCUGGUCAAUACCCAGAUGGGAGACCACAUGAGAAAACUAGGAUGCUCUUGGAA
rnacentral:rRNA from 1 species